ACUCAACGUUACAUCUUUAAAAAGGGUGAGUUACUGUUGCAAAAGCGAGCCGUCUUCGAACGGAUACUUGACCAGCAUAUUAGCCCUAAACUUGUUUUUAAGGAGUUU
rnacentral:sRNA from 1 species